AAACCAGCACCUCAAGUGGUCAGGAUGAUUAUGGGGCCUAAAGCAUCCGUAGCCGGCUCUGUAAGUUUUCGGUUAAAUCUGUACGCUUAACGUACAGGCUGCUGGGAAUACUGCAGAGCUAGGGAGUGGGAGAGGUAGACGGUACUCGGGAGGAAGUGGUAAAAUGCUUUGAUCUCUCGAUGACCACCUGUGGCGAAGGCGGUCUACCAGAACACGUCCGACGGUGAGGGAUGAAAGCUGGGGGAGCAAACCGGAUUAGAAACCCCGGUAGUCC
rnacentral:rRNA from 1 species